GGAAACAGAUAGCUAAUACCGGAUAACAACAGAUGAUGCCUAUCAACUGUUUAAAAGAUGGUUCUGCUAUCACUCUUGGAUGGACCUGCGGUGCAUUAGCUAGUUGGUAGGGUAACGGCCUACCAAGGCGAUGAUGCAUAGCCGAGUUGAGAGACUGAUCGGCCACAUUGGGACUGAGACACGGCCCAAACUCCUACGGGAGGCAGCAGAU
rnacentral:rRNA from 1 species